rnacentral:lncRNA from 1 species
CCAUGCAACUCCCGCCCCCGCUCCGUAAUUGGUGAGGGUAAUUGCCGCUCCCAGUACGGCGGAGCUGGGCUCUCUCUCGGUCCACCGGCACCACCUGUUGCCCUUAAGUUAGAAAAGGCGGCGUUCUCGGAGGGAGCCAAGCAGCCGCUGCAGGUGAAGGGGAGCCUCGGGCGGUCAGGUCGCCGCCAGGCUGCCGGCUCCGUUAGGCCCGGCGCACCUGCAGCGCAGCCAGGGCGCCAAGCUGAGGCUCUCACAUCCGGGGCCCGCAGUCACCGCCAACGCGUUAACCCUUUGUCCGCAGGCCCACGGGUGCCGGCUGUGACCGCGCGGGCCCCUGAGGUGCUAGAGAUUAGACCUGGCGCGCCCGCUAGGAAUACUUGUUUUAACAACACACUGUGAAAAGUAGAAGUUUCUGAAGGCUACAACUCUUAUGUGAUGGUCAAAAGAUUUUACAAUUUUCCUACUCAGAUCUACUUAAUCAGAUUAUCUCAAGGUAAGGUCUUUAGAAACUAAUAGAACAAGAAGUAUCUGGAAAUCACUGAAUGAAGCUGUCAGAAGUCGGUGCAGGAUAAAUUUCAAGUCACUGAUAAGAUGGAAGGUAGGUGAUAAUACUAAAGAAGACAGAAAACAAAAACUUGGAGAAAAGCCUAUAUUUUCAGGUUCAUAGAAUUUUUAAAAACCAGAUUGCUGUGUACAAUUCUUUAAUUGUUGGGAGGGAGUCAGAAGAGAUGGUGCCAGGUACAGGUGUGUUUACUCUGGCAGGGGAGACUGCUUCCCUACUAUGCUUACAAUCCAGGCCAGUGUGAAUUCAUAUUGUGAUCUUUGUCUACAGAACUAAAAGAGGGCUUGGACAGAGGUGGAGGAAGAAGGAGUUGCAACUGCUCAGCUGUAUUGACAGCAGGACUGUAUGUAGGUCUUACUUUCACUGGUAGUGAAUGUAGGUCAUCCCUGGCACAGAAGGUUGUGUUGCGAAAAGCAAAACAAGCUGUCAGGGAAGAUUCAAGAUAGG